GGCCAGGUAGCUCAGUUGGUUAGAGCAUCAUCCUGAUACUCCAUUGUGGGUUGGAUCCCUCCCUGGUCA
rnacentral:tRNA from 1 species